rnacentral:lncRNA from 1 species
GGGCCAAGUUUACAACUGGAUGGAUUUGCUGCAGAUGAGGAAAUACUGGAACGGAUAGCCUACUUGCAAUGUUUAGCAGACCUAAAUAUGGAACGGAUAGUCUACUUGAUUCUACUUUAUUUCAAUUAACAUGAUUCAUUUAUACAAAAAAAAAGGUUAUAUUAAAAAACGAGCAUGAUCUAUGUGCCAAUGUCAAUGCAUGAACUAGGAUUUUCGUAUGGUAGGAGCAAAAUAAAGGGAUUGCGUAAUUGUAUGGGUCAAGCUACUGUUUUCAUGCA